rfam:Candidate division Zixibacteria bacterium SM1_73 WOR1_30_36_1841, whole genome shotgun sequence.
GCCACCGUAGCUCAGUUGGUAGAGCAAGGGUUUCGUAAACCCUAGGUCAGCGGUUCGAGACCGCUCGGUGGCU